CCUACGGGAGGCAGCAGUGAGGAAUAUUGGUCAAUGGCCGCAGGGCUGAACCAGCCAAGUCGCGUGAGUGAUGACGGUCCUAUGGAUUGUAAACCUCUUUUGUCAGGGAGCAAAGGGCGCCACGUGUGGCGUUUUGCGAGUACCUGUACAAAAAGCAUCGGCUAAAUCCGUGCCAGCAGCCGCGGUAAUACGGAGGAGGAGAGCGUUAUCCGGAUUUAUUGGGUUUAACGGGUGCGCAGGCGGAAUGUCAAGUCAGCGGUAAAAUUUCGGGGCCAAACCCCGUCGUGCCGUUGAAACUGGCGUUCUUGAGUGAGCGAGAAGUAUGCGGAAUGCGUGGUGUAGCGGUGAAAUGCAUAGAUAUCACGAAGAACUCCGAUUGCGAAGGCAGCAUACCGGAGCUCAACUGACGCUCAUGCACGAAAGCGUGGGUAGCGAACAGGAUUAGAUACCCGUGUAGUC
rnacentral:rRNA from 1 species